GUUUUGAUGCAUUUAUUGAUGUGGUUGGAUUUGUAAAGGUAAAGAUGUUUUGCGUUAACGUGAUCUCUUGGUUCAAUGUUAAUUACCAGCUGACUUAGCCACCAGUGCAUCUGUUUUAGCACUUAUUAUGAACUGUUUCAUUUAUUUAAAAUUGUAUGAAUAGGGGAUUUUAGCUCAUUGAAAAGUUUAUGAUAUGUUACUUCUCUCUGAUAUUGAUGGAGACGUGCAUUUUAGGAAUUUUAUGAGUUUGAACUUCUGUGCCUCUGCUGUGUUCAUGUAUUUUGUUUUUGC
rnacentral:misc_RNA from 1 species